UUAGUACUCCCUCCGUCCGGAAAUACUCGUCGGAGAGAUAGAUGUAUCUAGACGUAUUUUUGUUAGAUGCAUCCAUUUUCAUCCAUUUCUAUGACAGGUUUUUCAUGACGGAGGGAGUACUAA
rnacentral:pre_miRNA from 1 species